rnacentral:antisense_RNA from 1 species
UGGCCUGUGGGAACCUGCACAAGUCGCAGCAACAUGGCCCCACGAAGUCUUUGACAGGCUGCCCCCUGCUGGCUGCUGCGGGAACCACAUGGCAGAUGGCUCCUGAUGUCCCCUGGAAGGUCUUGCUCUGUCACCCAGGCUGGAGUGUAGUGGUGCGAUCAUGCCUCACAGCAGCCUUGACAUCCCCAGGCUCAGAUAAUCCUCCCACCUCAGCCUCCUGAUUAGCUGCGACUACAGGCGCAUGACACCACACCCAGCCUCAACUUUAAAGAUGAGGGUCGGGCAGGCAACAUCUCCAGCAUGAAGCCCACUGGCCUCAUGUCUGUACUUCUGGAGUCCAGGUGAGCAAAGGUCACCUGCCCACUGGACUUGG